GAUGAACGCUGGCGGCGUGCUUAACACAUGCAAGUCGAACGGUGAAGGCGGAGCUUGCUCUGCUGGAUCAGUGGCGAACGGGUGAGUAACACGUAAGCAAUCUGCCCCUGACUCUGGGAUAAGCGCUGGAAACGGCGUCUAAUACUGGAUACGAGCUGCGAAGGCAUCUUCAGCAGCUGGAAAGGAUUUCGGUCAGGGAUGAGCUCGCGGCCUAUCAGCUUGUUGGUGAGGUAAUGGCUCACCAAGGCGUCGACGGGUAGCCGGCCUGAGAGGGUGACCGGCCACACUGGGACUGAGACACGGCCCAGACUCCUACGGGAGGCAGCAGUGGGGAAUAUUGCACAAUGGGCGAAAGCCUGAUGCAGCAACGCCGCGUGAGGGACGACGGCCUUCGGGUUGUAAACCUCUUUUAGCAGGGAAGAAGCGAAAGUGACGGUACCUGCAGAAAAAGCGCCGGCUAACUACGUG
rnacentral:rRNA from 1 species